GACGAACGCUGGCGGCGUGCCUAAUACAUGCAAGUAGGACGCAGUUGCGAACGGGUGAGUAACGCGUAGGUAACUACCUAUUAGAGGGGGAUAACUAUUGGAAACGAUAGCUAAUACCGCAUACUAGUAGAUGGACCUGCGUUGUAUUAGCUAGUGGGUAGGGUAAUGGCCUACCUAGGCAACGAAACAUAGCCGACCGUGGAAGGUUAUCGGCACCAAUGGGACUGGGGACAGGCCCAGGCUCCUACGGGAGGCAACAGUAGGGAAUCUUCGGCAAUGGGGGGAACCCUGACCGCGCAACGCCGCGUGAGUGAAGAAGGUUUUCGGAUCGUAAAGCUCUGUUGUGAGGGAAGCGGUACUUAACCAGAAAGGGACGGCUAACUACGUGCCAGCAGCCGCGGUAAUUC
rnacentral:rRNA from 1 species